AUGUCCCCGUUAACGUUUCUGGCUCUGACACCGUUACUACCCCUUCUAAUGCUGCCCAGUGGGCCGGUAGUACCGGUAUUUCCAGUAUUCCCUCGGCGUGACGUUACCAGAGUCCGUUUGGGAAUGGAAAUGUUGCUGGCUUGGAGCUUCUCAUUGCUUCCUGUUCUAGUCCCCAUCCUGCUGGCUUGGAGCUUCUCAUUGCUUCCUGUUCUAGUCCCCAUCCUGCUGGCUUGGAGCUUGUCACUGCUUCCUGUUCUAGUCCCCAUCCUGCUGGCUUGGAGCUUGUCACUGCUUCCUGUUCUAGUCCCCAUCCUGCUGGCUUGGAGCUUGUCACUGCUUCCUGUUCUAGUCCCCAUCCUGCUGGCUUGGAGCUUGUCACUGCUUCCUGUUCUAGUCCCCAUCCUGCUGGCUUGGAGCUUGUCACUGCUUCCUGUUCUAGUCCCCAUCCUUCUGGCUUGGAGCUUGUCACUGCUUCCUGUUCUAGUCCCCAUCCUGUUGGCUCUGAGAUCCUCAGCUUUCCUCCUCUGUAACAGGAGUACAGCCUCUGGUGUUAUGGUGAGGGUGAAGCGCCCCUCCUCCUCAUCCUCUUCCUCUUGUUCUCUCUCUUCCUCGCUCUUCAUUGGUACUUGUCGUGGUGACGGUAAGUCCUGUUCUAACUCCGCCCCCUGUGUCACCGACUCUCCGGAGCUUGAGGCGGGGAAGCUGCUGCUACCACCGGUGGAGCCAUUACCGGACGGCGGUGACCUUAACGGGAGUCUCUGUGACAUUACCGGGAGUCUGUGUGACGGUAGCCAGGGGUUCCUGCCCUCCACCUGUAUCCCUGACAACCCUGCACCUGAACCAAAGCCACAAAAAAACAACAGAAAAAGAUCAAACUUUACAGUAAUAUCCAUGACUAUAUAUACAUUUGAAUUUGAAUUAAUCAAUCAACCAAUCAAAUCAAAGAGCCAAUCACCUCUCCCCCUGAUGGUGGGCAGUCUGCUGCGGGGUUGGCUCUUCCUGCCCAGCUGCCUGUUGAAGGUCAGGUGUUCCCUCAUCGGGUUGCUUGUAACGUUAGUCUUCCCCUCCGGUAGUAACGGGGCCUUAACGGCUCUCACCGGGGUGACCUGGAGCGGUGGUGGCGAUGUCGUCGUGGUGAUACCUGAUCCGGUCCCUGUGACGGGGGGCGGCCGUGAGAUGGAGAAGGAGGAUGGAGGGAUGGAGGAGGAGGAGGGGACAGGAGGGAUGAAAGGCAUCUUGACCAGGCAGAGGAGGAGGUAA
rnacentral:lncRNA from 8 species